ACGCACGCUGGCGGCGUGCUUAACACCUGCAAGUCGAACGGAAAGGCCCUGCUUUUGUGGGGUGCUCGAGUGGCGAACGGGUGAGUAACACGUGAGUAACCUGCCCUUGACUUUGGGAUAACUUCAGGAAACUGGGGCUAAUACCGGAUAGGAGCUCCUGCUGCAUGGUGGGGGUUGGAAAGUUUCGGCGGUUGGGGAUGGACUCGCGGCUUAUCAGCUUGUUGGUGGGGCAGUGGCUUACCAAGGCUUUGACGGGUAGCCGGCCUGAGAGGGUGACCGGCCACAUUGGGACUGAGAUACGGCCCAGACUCCUACGGGAGGCAGCAGUGGGGAAUAUUGCACAAUGGGCGGAAGCCUGAUGCAGCAACGCCGCGUGCGGGAUGACGGCCUUCGGGUUGUAAACCGCUUUCGCCUGUGACGAAGCGUGAGUGACGGUAAUGGGUAAAGAAGCACCGGCUAACUACGUG
rnacentral:rRNA from 1 species